GUGUCAAGUUGAGAUCCUUGUCCCAGGAUUACUCUUGCAUUGCCUUUCCAUGAUGAAUCUUCCUCACCUUGUAAUUAUCUGGACACCAACCCCUGCCUUAAUCUGACUACCCAUUCUUGCCUUCCCAUUUGGAUAAGUAUCCUGACCUCUACCUCUCCGUAGCCAAGCUGUUCCUGUCCCCACAUGACCAGACUGCCUUUCCAGGAUCUUUUUACCAACCACCAUCCUAUCAUUCCUUACAAUAAACCAAUCUGUUAAACAUUUA